rnacentral:rRNA from 1 species
GACGAACGCUGGCGGCGUGCCUAACACAUGCAAGUCGAGCGGAGAUUUCAGCAAUGAAAUCUUAGUGGCGAACGGGUGAGUAACGCGUAGACAACCUGCCUUUUAGAUGGGGACAACACUGCGAAAGUGGUGCUAAUACCGAAUGUUGUAUCUUAGUUGCAUGACUAGGGUACUAAAGAUGGCUCCUAUUUAUAAGCUAUCGCUAGAAGAUGGGUCUGCGGCGGAUUAGCUAGUUGGUGAGGUAAUGGCUCACCAAGGCGACGAUCAAUAGCCGGUCUGAGAGGAUAAACGGCCACACUGGGACUGAGACACGGCCCAGACUCCUACGGGAGGCAGCAGUGGGGAAUCUUCCGCAAUGGACGAAAGUCUGACGGAGCAACGCCGCGUGAGUGAAGAAGGUUUUCGGAUCGUAAAACUCUGUUUUCAGGGACGAAUGUGCAGAGCGUGAAUAAUGUUUUGUAAUGACGGUACCUGAGUAGAAAGCCACGGCUAACUACGUGCCAGCAGCCGCCGUAAUAC